UACGGAGGGUGCAAACGUUGCUCGGAAUCAUUGGGCGUAAAGCGCACGUAGGCGGUCCAGCAAGUCGGGUGUGAAAGCCCUCGGCUUAACCGAGGAAGUGCAUUCGAAACUACUGGGCUUGAGUAUUGAAGAGGAUCGCGGAAUUCCCGGUGUAGAGGUGAAAUUCGUAGAUAUCGGGAGGAACACCAGUGGCGAAGGCGGCGAUCUGGGCAGAUACUGACGCUGAGGUGCGAAAGCGUGGGGAGCAAACAGGG
rnacentral:rRNA from 1 species